GGGGAGGUGGCAGAGUGGUCGAAUGUGUCUGCCUUGAAAGCAGAAGAGCCAAAAAAGCUCCGUGGGUUCAAAUCCCACCCUUUCCU
rnacentral:tRNA from 1 species